rfam:Vulgatibacter incomptus strain DSM 27710, complete genome.
UCCGGUGGCAAUGGAGAAGGGGUCCCACCCGUUCCCAUCCCGAACACGGAAGUUAAGCCCUUCAUCGCCGAUGGUACUGCACGGGAGACCGUGUGGGAGAGUAGGACGCCGCCGGAU